rnacentral:rRNA from 1 species
UUCCGGUUGAUCCUGCCAGAGGUCACUGCUAUCGGGGUUCGAUUAAGCCAUGCGAGUCGAGAGGGUUCGGCCCUCGGCGUACUGCUCAGUAACACGUGGAUAACCUGCCCUAAGGAAGGGGAUACCCCCCGGGAAACUGGGGAUAAUACCCUAUAGGUUACAGAUGCUGGAAUGCUCUGUACCCGAAAGUUCCGGCGCCUUAGGAUGGAUCUGCGGCCGAUUAGGUUGUUGUCGGGGUAACGGCCCAACAAGCCAGUAAUCGGUACGGGUUGUGGGAGCAAGAGCCCGGAGUUGGAUUCUGAGACACGAAUCCAGGCCCUACGGGGCGCAGCAGGCGCGAAAACUUUACAAUGCGGGCAACCGUGAUAAGGGAACCUCGAGUGCCUGUAUAUGCAGGCUGUCUGGGUGUCUAAAACACACCUAAAGAAAGGGCCGGGCAAGACCGGUGCCAGCCGCCGCGGUAAUACCGGCGGCUCGAGUGGUGGCCACUUUUAUUGGGCUUAAAGCGUUCGUAGCUGGGUUAUUAAGUCCCUUGGGAAAUCCGACGGCUUAACCGUCGGGCGUCUAAGGGAUACUGGCAAUCUUGGAACCGGGAGAGGUGAGGGGUACUUCGGGGGUAGGAGUGAAAUCCUGUAAUCCUCGAGGGACCACCUGUGGCGAAGGCGCCUCACCAGAACGGCUUCGACAGUGAGGGACGAAAGCUGGGGGAGCAAACCGGAUUAGAUACCCGGGUAGUCCCAGCCGUAAACGAUGUGCGUUAGGUGUAUCGGUGACCACGAGUCACCGAGGUGCCGAAGGGAAACCGUGAAACGUACCGCCUGGGAAGUACGGUCGCAAGGCUGAAACUUAAAGGAAUUGGCGGGGGAACACC